AUGAGAUGGCUCAGCGGUUAAGAGCACUGACUGCUCAUCCAGAGGUCCUGAGUUCAAUCCCCAGAAAUCACAUG
rnacentral:tRNA from 1 species